GGCAGUGUGGCUUAGUGGUAAAGCACUUGCUUAGCAUGUUUGAAGCCCUGGGGUUCUAUCCCCAGCACUGCAA
rnacentral:tRNA from 1 species